rnacentral:rRNA from 1 species
UACGUAGGGUGCGAGCGUUAAUCGGAAUUACUGGGCGUAAAGCGUGCGCAGGCGGUUCGUGAUGUCGGGUGUGAAAGCCCCGGGCUUAACCUGGGAAUUGCAUUGGAAACUAGCGGGCUGGAGUGUGGCAGAGGGGGGUGGAAUUCCACGUGUAGCAGUGAAAUGCGUAGAGAUGUGGAGGAACACCGAUGGCGAAGGCAGCCCCCUGGGCUAACACUGACGCUCAUGCACGAAAGCGUGGGGAGCAAACAGG